UACGAAGGGGGCUAGCGUUGCUCGGAAUCACUGGGCGUAAAGGGUGCGUAGGCGGGUCUUUAAGUCAGGGGUGAAAUCCUGGAGCUCAACUCCAGAACUGCCCUUGAUACUGAGGAUCUUGAGUUCGGGAGAGGUGAGUGGAACUGCGAGUGUAGAGGUGAAAUUCGUAGAUAUUCGCAAGAACACCGGUGGCGAAGGCGGCUCACUGGCUCAUUACUGACGCUCAGGCGCGAUAGCGUGGGGAUCAAACAGG
rnacentral:rRNA from 1 species